rnacentral:rRNA from 1 species
UACGUAGGGCGCAAGCGUUAUCCGGAAUUACUGGGCGUAAAGCGCGCGCAGGCGGACGUUUAAGUAGGGCGUGAAAUCUCCCGGCCUAACUGGGAGGGGUCGCUCUAGACUGGGCGUCUUGAGGACUGCAGAGGUGGGUGGAAUUCCUGGUGUAGUGGUGAAAUGCGUAGAGAUCAGGAGGAACACCGGUGGCGAAGGCGGCCCACUGGGCAGUCACUGACGCUGAGGCGCGAAAGCUCGGGGAGCGAACGGG